ensembl:lncRNA
CUCACGUGUUUCCGUCACGCACACCGGAAACCCCCGCCACUGUGGAGCCCUCUCCUGCUCCGGCACCGAGCCUCAUCUGAGAAGCUGGUGCUGUGACUACCUGCGGUAGCCUGGGUUCCACAAAGGACAAGACCUAAUACUAGAGCUGUGGACGGUGGUUUGUUCGAGGGCACGCCCAAGGAGCUGUGAGAGGGAGAGGCGUGGACAUCUGGAAGGAAAAGAAGGCCAGUCAGGGUUGCGUUCCCGGUCUGGUUACCGCUGCGGGGUCCCGAUCCUGCGAGGGCUUCUGUGGAGCCUUGGAGCCUUAGGAGACUCAUCUCAGAACUGUCCACUUGGGACACUCCCAUCCAGCAUCAGAUGAGUAACUUCACUGCUGAGAAUCUACAGCAUGGGAACUGAGUUGACAUGGAGCAACAUAGAUUGUUCUAGAAUGGUUCAUGGAAAGAAAUGCCCAAAAGGCACCUUACCCUCAGAAAGAUGAUCUUGAUAAUGAGGUUUCAAGAAAGAAAUUACUUUGGAAAAAAAAGCCCAUGACAAUUAAUAUGUGCUCCAUGUGUAGCUAAACAAAAAUGUAUCGAUACAAGGUAAAGCAACUGAGCCUCAGAGAGGUGUAAUAUUUCACCAAACAUCAGACAUCUAGUAAGAAAGACUCGGAAUAGAAUCGAAGUGGCUGUGAGUUAACGUUGACAGAUGGAUUUCGGACUUGGCAAAGUUCCUGUAUCAUUUUCAAGUGUUACUUUUCAUAUCUGAACUGGGGAUGAUAGUAACUGCAAGGAUUGUCGUAAGGAUUAGAAGUAAUAUAUGUAAAGCGCCAAGCACAGUGCCUCCGGCUUGGUGGGUGGUCUACAGCUGUGAGUGACUAUAAUUGUGCUCCUGACUCCAAAACCUUUCCAGCUUUACUUGGAACAACAAUACUUCUUCCACAGCAAUCAAAGAGUUGGGGCAAAAAGAAAGAAAGCCAUUAAAUCAUCCAUAGUUGCAUCCUCCCAGGAUCAAAAGCAUGAGCUUUUGGGUGAACUUUAAUGUCUACUUUCCUACCCUUGGGUUUUGUGGGAAUCAACAGCCCUGGAGAUUAAAAACCUCUGUGGUGACCGCCCUUUGGGAAGUGUGGGCCUCUCCACAGUGGUAAGUAGGAACUCACGAGAUGUUUCUUAAUUCCUUUGUGCUUUCAGCUGUUUUUUCAGAGCUGGAGCCAUUCCUUGGCAUGUUGGUAUCUUGACCUUCACAUUUCCUCCUCUGAAACAGCUUCCCAUUUUUUCCCUCUCCGUGAGUACUCUUGCCUGGAAAAUCCCAUGGGCCGAGGAGCCUGGUAGGCUGCAGUCCAUGGGGUUGCUAAGAGUUAGACACGACUGAGCGACUUCACUUUCAC